rnacentral:lncRNA from 1 species
AAAAUGUGAUAGUCCAAUUCAAUAAUUCUUUGGAAAGAUUGAAUUUCUCAGUUUAAAUGAUGCAAGGUAUUGUAAAUCAUUCUAUACAAUACCAUGAACUCAUGAACUCAGGUUGAAUUCUCUUAUAUCUUGAACUCGUGAACUUCUGUUAUAUCAUUUCAGAACUAUCAUUGUUUAUUAUUACUUGCUGAGCAUUGUUGCUCACCCUUGCUAUUCCUUUCUAACCAUUUCAGAAAGGCUGAAAGAUAAGAUGAUUGAUUGAGAUUGUGGAUAAGGCUAAUGCUAGGCGAGGAGACAGAGUUGAGGAUCCAGUGGUCGAGGAGUAUUCAGGAAAGUUGAUAAGGUUGGUGCUAGCUAGAGUUAUGCUAUGAAGUUUCAGAUGUAAGUCAUGGCUGGAGUAAGUUGACAGUGAUUCUUCUUAUCGAAGAUGAUCUGAUUUGGUAAGGGAUGUUGUGUAGUAUUAGUGGUGGAUUCUAAUUUCAAUACUGUAACCUGGAAGCGAUCCUGUUGUUUUUGGGGGUUAAAAUGUUCUCUUUCGAAUCAGCUAUUAAAGUUUAAAUGUUCUCUGAAAAGUUCUUUUAUGAUGGUUUUCAAAUUUAAAAUUCAGGUUUUGAAAUCAUUUGAUUUAUGUUCUCAUACAAAUCUUUUAUUAAAUGUUUCAAGUUUUAAAUUCUUGUGGAUUUUCAUUAUCUUUAAUAAAAAUACAGGGUUUCACAAGUGUUUUAAAAAGGGUUUUGUGUGGUGACGUCAGAAUCCAGACCCCCGGAUUCCUGGACUGUCACAGUUGGUAUCAGAGCAACAGGUUAUAAGUAUUUGAAAUUAGAAUAUAGAUCAUAGUUAUAGGUUUUCUAGAGAAGAAUGUUGGGUGACCUCGGAUAGAGGUAUUGUGAGACUAUUUAGAAAUAGUCUAGGGAUGUGAUAGAGAAAUAGAAUCUAGUUAAAUGAUUAAGUUGAGUGCAUAAGUUUAAAGAGAUUUUGAUUCCUAAGUUAGACAUAUGAUUUUUAGUAUGUUGACUAAUUGAGAUGAUGAAUUGUGAGAAAGGUCAGUAUUAGACCUAUACAGAAGAGUUUGAUAAUGAAUGACUGAGUUGAAAAUGGUGAAAAUGCAGAGUUCAGAGUAUUCUGACUAUACUGCAUAUUUGAAAUUAGAUUAUUGUAUUGAUUUGAGGAUGAUAUAAAUGCAUGGUUCAUAGUAUGUUGACCAUGUCAGAUAUUUGAAAGAUGUAUAUUGUUUUGGAGUGAAGAUAUGAACAGUAAGUGUAGAGUAUGAGUUGUAUUGGAUUAGAAGGAGAGAUUGGUAGAUAGAGGUUGAUAGGUGAGAAGUGAAUGAUAGAGAGUACGUGGAAUUGAGUCCAGUUAUUAGAGAUGAUGUCUACAAGUAAGUUAGAACGUUAGUUCUCGACGACUACGCUUUAAGUUAAGCGGGACAAGGUGGGCCCAUAACCCACAGGUUGACGAGUCAGAAAAUAGAAGAUACGCUACGUGUCGUGCUAUGGAAUUCAAAGGCAACUGGAUGAAACAUGAGAACGUGAACUACUUGGGCCAGACUUAUUAUGAACUAUAACGUCUACGAUGACAUCUUACGAGGCUAUUACGAGUCAACAUCGAUCGAUUAUCGAGAACGUUGAAAAGAAGACAUAUAUCGAACAAUGAUUUAUUGAAGCAGAGUGAAAAUCUGAGAAGACCUUGGCAAUACCUCUCUUCAACUAAGAUUCUUUUGGAUUGUUUUUCUCAUCAGUGAGAUAUUAUCAUGAUAUCCUUUCGACCAAAGUUUCGAUAAAUGAGAUUUUCAAUUUCUCAAAUUCUAAGAUGACAUUAAUAUUGAUUAUUGGUGUGAGUUGGUAUUGAUUCAAGAUGUGUGAUAAAGGUUUGUUGUGAAGAGACAGUGAUGUUCCUUGAGAUAGUUUGACAUUUCUUGACAUCCUUGAUAUUCUUUCAUCUUCUUUGAUAUCCCUUGAUGUUCUUUAAUAGUUGCAAUUCUUUGACAUUCUUUGAUAUUCUCGAUAUUCUUUGACAUUCUUUGAUAUUCCUUAAUAUAUUCCUCGAUAAUCCUUAACAUUCCUUGAUGCUCCUUGAGAUUUCUUGGAUUCUUUCCAUCUGAUUGGGAUGAACAACCCUAUGUAUAGGGGACACAAGGUAUACCUGUCUGUGUGAUAGGAGUUGGAUGGGACGCCAUCACUUGUGUGUGUUGUGAUUACAAGAAGGUUAACAACCUUUAGUAGUGUCUAAUAUGGACACGCAACAUUAAGUUCAUUUGAUCGUAUUGAUCUCCCAGUCACUCUUGUAUUCCAAUGUGACCUAUUUUGAAAACAGCUUGUUCCUCCAAAAUUCUCAAAAAUUGAUUCUUGAGAAAUGAAUUCUGCAAUUGUGAAAGUGUUGAUAUUCCUAUUUCUUUAAAAUUGAAGGUAUGCCAAGGUUGAUUAAGGGCGGAUGAGCAUGUGAUGUUAUGAAACGUGUACAAUGAUUUUACAAAUGAUAUGUUUUAGUUUCUUCGGAGGAUUCCGAGGACGGAAUCCUUAUAAGGGGGGUAGAAUGUAAUAUCCCGUAUUAUUAAAUUUAGAUUUGAUUAUUAUAAAUCUAUUUGUCUAAAUAUAAUUGUUGGCUUUAAUGGAAUAGUGAUCUGAUUAUGUGAAUAGUGUGUAUGUGAUUAUACUUGUUAUGUGGAUUAAUAUGGAUUUUACAGAUUAUGCGUCCUCCUUCUUUCUCUGAUUCCGAGGACGGAAUCCCUAUAAGGAGGGUAGAUUGUAAUGACCCGGAUUUUUAAAAAUAUUUUUAUUAGUAUUAAAAGUGAUUUUCUUCAAAGAAGGGAAUAAGAUUUAAUAUUUUAUUCCAGUUUAAUGAGUUUUCAAGGUUUUAUAUUUAAACCCCGGGUUAUUGUGUUAUUGAUAAAUAAUUGUAUUUUCAAAACUGAUUUUCAUAUAUUGUUUUGAAAAUUCUGUAUGAAUAUUAUGUGAAUAUAUGUGUUAUGUGAUUAAGUGGUAUUGGUGAAUUUGUUUGUUAAUUAGUUAUGAUUAAUUAUUAAUAUUAUAUGAUUAAUAUAUGAAUUUUUGUGAAUUUUGUGUUAUCUAGUUUAUUGAGCUGAAUGCUCGUAUGUGUUCGUAUUCGCGAGAUUUCAAUUUCUAUAUGCUCAGGAGAAAAUAUAGUUUAUUUGGAUAUUUUCAUAUCGAUUUAUGGAAUGUUAGAUGAUUUUAUAAUCGAUUUACGGAUUUAAUUGCGUAUAUUUAUAUUUAUUUAUUAAUUAUUUGACUUCCGUAAAACCGUCCACUCGUAACGAGGUAGCAAAUUUUCUUCCCGGAAGUUUCAACAAAACUCACCUUUAGCCUAAUUUGAAUAUUCCGGACACUUUUCGUGUUUUGACUUUUUCGAUCCGGAGUACGGUUUUCCCCGGAGUCGGUCCGGCGGAGUUUUUCGGGUAUUUUAAUUGUUGAUAAUUAUCCAGUUUGUCUCGAUAUACGUGAAAGCCAGAUAUUUUGAUUAUUAUAUUACUUUUUAUCGAAAUACGUGCAAAUGGGACCCCCAGACCAAUGAUUGAUUUAUAAUGCCCCGUUUUGAUGAUUAUCUCGAAAACCGGUACCGAUUGGACCCCGCUUUACUAAUAUAAAGCUAUUAAAUAUCGUAUUUUCAUGUCAUAAACGAUCCAAAGGGGUACCAAUUAUUUGUAAAUAUAAAUAGCCCUUUCUACACCUUAUUUUCAACCGUAAAUCAUUUCACCAGUUUCUUUUCACGAAUACCGAGAGAAACCGAGCUGCGUUCUUCGUGUUCUUCGUAAUCAAACGAGGAUUUGAAGGUGUUAUUGGAAUCCGAUGGAGGUGUAUGAAUAGUCAAAACGAAGCUAUCGACGCGUAGAAUCUAUUACUAUCAGUGGUUUCAGUGCAGAAUCGACAGGUUUUUGCUAAUUAAGGUUUUUAAUUUCGAAUUUAUAUGAUUUAAAUGAUGAAUUUUUGAAAACGUGAUUGUUUAAUUGUUUUGAUGAUUCUAUGAUGUAGAGCAUGUUUUUCUCGUCGUUUUGGUAUAUUAUAUGUCAAAAACGGAGUUCAAUAACAUGUAGAAAAGUCAGUUUGAUUAUUGAAACUGUUGUUCUUGGUGUUCUUGAGAAAGCUCGCCGGAAAAUUCUUGUUUUGGUCGGGAUUUUGAUUCGUUAAACCUGGGCAGAAGCUAAGCAUACCAUUGAAUAGAUCUUUGAGAGUAUAAUUGAGUGGUGGUGUCAGUUUGUUCAAAGGAGGCGAAACGAGUUCGCCGGAAAAUGGAGAAGUCGGCGGUGGCGCCGACCUUCAACCGGGUUUUACGGCAAAUUGGUGAAGUGCUUGUGAAAUCUGAAAAUACGAGUGGAUUGCUGGACAUCUGUAGAGUAUAUCUGCAGCUGGUGGUCGAGUUCUGGGCUCGAUGGAGCCUCCGGCGACGUCUCCGACGUCGUUCGGCGACGGUAGGGGGUGAUGACUGUAUAAUUACAGUUUAACCCCCGAACAAAUGAAGGUGGUGACUUUUAGUCACCCGAGUUUCAAAUCUUUCAAAACAAACCCUGAUACUUCGAAAACUUGCACUUUCAACCCUGCGUUUAAACUUUUGAAUAGUAACAAUUAAAACCUUUUCAAUUAUUUUUCAAAAAUUAUUUUUUUGGUCAUUUUUUUAUAGUUUUUAAUUAUUUCUUUAUUCAAAAACAAAUCGAAAUUAGUUUAUUAAUUAAUUUCAAUUGGUAAUUAAUUAUAUUAAUUGAUCAAUUAAUUUAAAUAUUAAUUGAUUAAUUAAUUUAAUUAGUUAUUAAUUGAUUUUAAUUGAUUAAUUAAUUGGAUUUAAUUAUCCUUUUUGAUUUAAAAAUUCCGAAAAAUAGUUUCGAGCUUUAAAAUAUUUUUCCAAAUCAUGUUCAAGGCUCGACAAUUGUUUAUGAAUGAUUUCAAGUCCAGUUUUGAGCAUCCGGACUUGAUUAUUUAUUUGAAAAAUGAUUCUUUUAUCCGUUUUAAUUCCGAAAAUGUUUAAAAAUUCCAGAAAAUUCCCGAAAAAAAAUCAUUUUUAACCCAAGAGUGAUUUGAUAUCAAUUGGGGUGGGAAACCUUAUAUGUAAUGUGUUAUCUGCUUUGUGUGUGAUGUGUUAUAUGUUGAUAGUGGAGUCAGAAAACGGCUUAGAUCAUAACUUUUGAUCUGUAAGUCGGAAUCAAGUGAAACGAAAGAGAGAUAGAAGCUCGUGAAGUCUAUUUUAAUAUGACAAGAUAAUAUGAUUGAAUCUAGAAUGUGAUUAUAUGCUAUGUAAUAUGCAAUAUGUAACCAUACGUGAUUUGUUUGUUAUGAAUUGAUGAUUACGUGAUAUAUGUGGUUAUUCCUAAUAUAGUACAUAUGUGAUAAAUGACUUAUAUGACAUAGUGUCAUGAUUUGAUAAGAACAUAUGGAUUAUAGGAAUUGGAAUUGGUUGAUUGGUUGUUGGUUGGGAAUAGGUUGACAGGUGGAUAGUCUUAUAACUAGACAAGAUGCUGGCAGAUUUUCGAUAUGAUUUAUAUGAUUAUUGAUUAUAACAUGUUAUGUAGAAUAUGACUUGACUAUAUGAUAAAGUCAAAGAAUGAUUAUGUGCUAAGUGAUAUGUGAUAAGUUUAAAGGGGUAUAUAAGUGGGUAUCGAUAUACGUGAUAUGUAUAUGCGAUAUAUUGUUUAGUGACUAUAGUAUUAUCUUAUUCUCGUAAAGGAUUUGGACGAGACGUGUACGCUCGAAGACGUCAGAAAGUCGGAAUGGUAUUGCAAAGCGAAUAAGGGAUGAAUCGAGUAAGCGAAGCGAUGUGGCGAAUAG